rnacentral:lncRNA from 1 species
GAGUAAUCCAAUCAGUUUUAUUCAUUAAAAACAAACCAAAACUACUUCCCAGUCAAGUAUCUACACUAACUAAAACUACUUCUCAGUGGCGGAGCCACCCUUACCCAAGGGGUGUUAAUCGACACCCUAUCGCCGGAAAAUAACACCAUAGUAGAUAGAUAUUUUAGAUAUGUUUUUCUUAAAAAUUGAAUAUUUACAAGGGGUUGACAACCCUUGACAUAAGACAAACUCUUAGUGCAAUGAUUAAGGGGUGUCAAAAAUUACAGAAGGUUGCAAGUUUCAUUCCCCAUAGUAGCAAUUUUUUUUGACACCCCUUUGUAUAAUUUCUGGCUCCGCCACUGCUACUUCUCUUUCGACAAACCAUAAAACCAGAACCAAAAGAGAUGGCCUCCUUCACAUAUUCAUUUGGCAGUCACUUCAUAAAUCGUGAAUCUGAUUUUAGUGGUCAAUGAAGUGAGACGAGAACCAUAAGGUCUCAAAUUCAAAUCUUAUCGAAAUCGCAUUCCGACCCCGAUAUCGCAUAAGUCAAUUAUGGGUCAAGCUUCUUCAUAUUUCCAACUUCAACUUUUUUCCAAUUUCCGCUAAAAUGGCUCAAAUUCUACGGACCACCAAAUCUGAAUCCAGACGCGCGCCUAAGUCCAAAAUCACCAUAAGAAGUUGUUGAGAUUAUCCGCAACCCAUUCCGGGUCCGUUUACCCAAAGUCCAAUUCCAAUCAGCUUUUCACCGUUCAAACUUCCAUAACUAAAUUCCUUCUUCCAAUUUGACUCUAAACCAUCCAUAAACUGAAUUCCACCAUGCACGCAAGUCGAUACUCAUAUUCUGAAGCUGUUCGAGACCUUACGCCGUUAAACGAAGCUUAAUUUCUCAAAACGACCGAUCGGGUCGUUACAUCCUCCCCCUCUUAAAACCAAUAUUCGUCCUUAAACGUGCUAAGAUUCGCCUUGAAAUCCUCAAGCAACUGAGUACACACUUCCAACAUACACCCGCGGGUGAUCCCACGUCACCCCAAUCCACAUAAGCAUGGCGACAACAUCUCAACUGAAAUUUAGCCUUUCUAGCAAUAUCAAAAAACCUUCAAGCCAGAAUUCUCACAGACUCAAACUAUAUUUGGAAAAUGCUAUCAAAUAAAAAGUAGGACAAGUCCUUGCUACUUGUAACACUGGAAAAGGUCAACUUUAAAAGUAUGGAGCAGUCAAAUAUAGAACACACAUAGAUUUAUCUCCAUAACACACUAUAAGAGAAUCAAUAUCUAACAGCAUCGCAAGUAGUGUGACAUAAGUCAUAUCCUAUAGUAUUCAAUUCCAUGCACAUCAUACAACAACAACUCAAUAUAAUCCCACUUAGUGGGGUUUGGGAAGGGUAGUGUGUACGCAGACCUUACCCCUACCCUGGGGUAGAGAGGCUGUUUUUAAAAUAUCUUUAAUCUUUAGCCACUGCUUUAAUAACUUUAACUUCCCGGACGAAACUACAAUUCUGCUCAUGUCCUUAACUUUUGAACUUAACUUCAGCACUUCAGAAAAACAUGUCAUUGAUUUUGAACUUGUAACUCUAAGUUUAGGACUUCAGAACUGCAUUUCCUUAACUUUUGAACUUGUAACUGUAAGUUCAUGACCAAGUGUCCUUAACUUUUGAGCUUGUUAGUCUAAGUCAACAACAACAACCCAGUAUAAUCCCACUUAGUGGGGUCUGGGAAGCGUAGUGUGUACGCAGACCUUACCCCUAUCCUUGGGUAGAGAGGCUGUUUCCAAAUAGACCCCCGUCAUCCUUCUCUCCAAGAAUUUCCCACCUUGCUCUUGGGAAAACUCGAACUCACAACCUCUCGAUUGGAAGUGGGGGUUGCUUACCAUCAGAGCAACCCCUCGGUUGGAGGUGGGGUUGCACAUCAUACUUUAGUGCAAAUCCUAGCUCCAAAAUAAGGCAGCCCCAUACUAGGGAAACAACAUAAAGACGGUUUCAUCAUUAGGGAUGUUGAAUUAUCAGAAGAAAAAAAUGCAAGGCUUUGAAAGUUGUUUGAAAAGACUUGAUUUCAUGAAGAACAUAAAUUAUUUAAGCUGAGUAAAAGACCUGACUCACAUGCUCUCCUUUUUGAACUUUUUACAAGUAUGACAGCAACAACAAUAACAACAAUUAUCCAAUAUAGUUCCAUAAAGUGGGGUCUGGGAGGGUAGAGCUGUUUCCAAUCGACUUAUUACAAGUAUGACCUUUUUUCUAAAUAUAUAAGAAAAGACAGAGUAGAAUGUUUGGGUGAAGUGAACAACGCUCAUAAGUGUAUAAAGUAGAGAUUAAAUAAAGAAAAAAUGCUCAUGUUCUACAAAUGAAAUACAUUGAAAAAUUUCUUAAAACUCAAUAUUUCAAAAGGAACAGAAUCCAUCUUCAAACUCAAAAUCCAAGUAAAUUCAACCUAAAAGAAGCCUUUUUAUACAAUUACUGAACUCAAGAUACCCAAUAUAAUAUCGAGCAUGCAAUCACAAUAACAACACCAAAAGGUCUAGAAUUUCAAAAAACGAAAAAAGAAAAAAACUUUCAGCUUACCUAAGAGAAAACUGAGAUAGGACCGUCAAGAUCGAGAAUUGAAAAAAUAUAGGAAUGAAACUUCAAAAACUUCGGACGGUUUGGAACAACGUACCCUCGUAAUGCUUUUCAAACUUCAUAUUUUCCUCAUUCCUUCUUUAGCUUCAGACCACUGUCGGUUCCUCUAGAUUGCAAAUGGGUCGGAAAAUUUGAGGUAAAAUUAGAGAAUACAUUUACCACAAAAAAAGGAAUUGAGAUUUGAACAUAUACUUGAUCGAAUCAAAAUUUGUAAUUAGGGUUUUUGAAUCUCUACCAUAUGGUUCAUAUUUUGUGAUUUGAGUAGAUAGAUUUGAGACAUUUGAGGUUUUCGACUGUAGAGAACAUUGAGAAUUUUACAGAGAAGAGGGAGCAAACAAGUGGUACUGCAGAAAGAAAUCGAGCAAAGAGACAUUUGAUAAGUUUGAGGUUUUUGAUUAAGAAAU